rnacentral:rRNA from 1 species
AACGAACGCUGGCGGCAUGCCUAACACAUGCAAGUCGAACGAGACCUUCGGGUCUAGUGGCGCACGGGUGCGUAACGCGUGGGAACCUGCCCUUAGGUUCGGAAUAACUCCCCGAAAGGGGUGCUAAUACCGGAUAAUGUCUUCGGACCAAAGAUUUAUCGCCUUUGGAUGGGCCCGCGUUGGAUUAGCUAGUUGGUAGGGUAAAAGCCUACCACGGCGACGAUCCAUAGCUGGUCUGAGAGGAUGAUCAGCCACACUGGGACUGAGACACGGCCCAGACUCCUACGGGAGGCAGCAGUGGGGAAUAUUGGACAAUGGGCGAAAUCCUGAUCCAGCAAUGCCGCGUGAGUGAUGAAGUCCUUAGGGUCGUAAAGCUCUUUUACCCGGGAUGAUAAUGACAGUACCGGGAGAAUAAGCUCCGGCUAACUCCGUG